rnacentral:tRNA from 1 species
UUCGAAAUGGCAGAAUUAAUGCAUAAGCCUUAAGAGCUUAGCAUGACCUUUAGGUCUUUCGUAA